GUUGACUGUCUUACGUUUGGCUUUUUUUGUUGGAGUCUUGAGCAACGCUCCCGACUGGACUCACGGGUACGACGUUCGCGCUCUGUUUCGCCAUUUUCCGUAGACUAGAGCGACGUUCUCCUUCGGUUUCACGAAGUCUACGUUCACACUCGAGUACAACCUUGGACGUGGAGUUAGUGAAUGUUGCAAAAGGCAAAGUACCAUCAGCCAGAUGCACAACUUUUAGCGAGGGAGCAAAGAAGAGAGAACACAAUUACAAUGGAGAUCACAUUCUUACUUCCCUCUAAAGGAAAUAUAGCGGAAGCUGUCAUACCUACAAAAAUUAUUCAUGGAAAGAAAUGCAGAAAGCACUACCAGAAGGCAAAUUACUUGCCUUUACAUUCUGUGUGAUUCUGCCAGAGGUGUUUGUACGGCUAACCAAGAUUAUCAAGAAGAAUUACUAAGUCUAUUUGAAGUUGUGUGACUACAUAACAUAGAUGAUACUAUAGUAGUCUCUAAGAAAAUGUUUGAAAAUAUGUGUUACUGUGUGUCCAUUGUGAAUGGGUCUCUGUACAUAUCAUUUUGGAUAUAUUAUGGGUGAUCUGUAUUUGCUGUGCACAAACACAUAUUAGC